GGUUACUCUUGAAAUAGUAAAAUUAACAAAAAUAUAUAAAACAAGUUUUAUAAUCUUUUAGUAAUAUUUAGAUUUUAUUUAUUUUAUAAAAGUAAAUAAAUUAUAUAAAAAAAUCAAAAUGACAAUCACAUUUUCAAAAGUUUUUUUGGCUUAAUGUAAUUUUAGACCUAAAAUAUAACAAAUUUAAAUUAACUCGGUACUAAGAAU
rnacentral:lncRNA from 1 species